GCCUCUAAUUCAUAGUCAGUUGGUCAGAAGCACAGGGCUUGUGACUCAGAGUUGAAGAGAGAGGUUUUGGGACAUGAGCCCUUAGAGCUGCAGAAUCUGAUGCUACUAUAACAGCAUGGUUCCCAGGAAAGGGGGAGGUUCCAGGUUCCUUGCCCCACCCAAGGGAGGGUGGAGCUGAGCAAAGAGAGAAAAAGGUGCAGAGGAGACUGAGGAAGGAAGGAAGCAGGAUGGAGAGCCUGAAGGAGAUCUGCAGGUGGUACAUGGAGCCGAGAGACACAUGAAGAAACUACACUUGCCUUUUGGUUGUGGACUGGUUGAAACAGCAGAUGUGGGUGAGAGACCCUUGGAGAGCUGAUGGAGGCAAAAAUAUGCAGGCACCCCACCUUCUAGAUGCUUCCAGUGAAGGAGAGAGCACAUUCUCCAUGAGAACGAAAGGAGAGCUCGCUAAUAGAAAGAGGACCUUUUGAGUAGGCUUGGUGAGACAGACGUGGCAUGAGGAAAUCCCCCGUGUGUUCUGAGCUCUUGGGAGGUUUUGAGGAGGGAACCAGAAGACUGAAGCAGUGGGGAGGCAAGCCAGAGAAACAGCCACUCAGUGCCCAUGACCCCGGCAUCUGGAGAACAUUCUGCAACUUACGGAGCACCCGCUCGAUCCUCUAUCUUCCCAACAGAGAUUUUUAAUCUUAUGCUGCAGAUAAGAAAGCAAAAAGAGGUCCCAUUGGAAGCUUUCCGAAUGAUCAGCCAGAAGCGAAGGCGGCUGAGCACUCUUGUCUCGGUGCUCUCCAUGGUGAGGCAAGGAAGAGGAGAACGCCCUGUGCAGGAAGGCAGCAGCGCUCAGUGGAUCCUGGGAGUGAAAUGAGAAACUUUGGACAAAUUAUGAAAUCAUUCUCUGAGCCUCAGUUUCUUUAUCUGUAAAACAGAACCAAUACUCCUCCCCGUCUCUUGUCACCCAGGUUCUUGUACAUUCAUCCACUCGUAUUUGAUGAAUAUUUCCCAAGCACCUUUUAUGUGUCAGGAGAGCAUGGGGUGAGGAGAAAGAGGCAUCCCCUGCCGUCCUGAAGCUCACUUGUAGGAGAAAACAGCCAGAGAUGACGUGCCGUGCUAAACUCCAGGGUAGGCAAAGAGACCAUUUUUUUGAAAGCAGCCAGGGUCACCUGUGGGCCAGACUUUCCAGAAGGAAGGGAACUCUACAUGGAUCUGAAGAACAAGUCAAAGGGGAGAGGCAGAAUGGAGGAUUGGGUCACCCCAAAAAAGAAGAGAGGCAAUGGGACGCUUUAGACCCUUUAGAGGUACAGAAAGUAAUUUCGUAUGACCACAUCCAAAGCUUCAAGGUAGAGGAAGCAGGAGCCCUGGCAAGGUGGGGAGAGAGGGACCCCAAAUGGGACUCAGGUACCAAGGACUUACUGUUUCUGCUGGGGAACUUAGGUUUUACCUUAAAGACACUGGGGAAGCCACUGCAGGAGAAGGUGGCCCUUUGGGGGAGAGGUGGCCUGAUUCGGUGGCAUAGUUUAGAAGGUCACCUUGCCUCCCCGAGAGCUGCCCAGUGGGAAAGAGGUGGGAGGGAGAGUGGAAGCAGGCAGACCUAAUGCAGGGAGGGAUGGCAUCAGCUGAGGUGGCUGAAGGAAGUGGGGGGUGAGGGAGAAUAGGCAGGUGCAAAAGGCAUGGGAUUAAUAGGAAGACUUGAUAGAUUAGGGAGAAAAGGAGAGGAAGGUUCAAGAUAGAACUCCAGGUUUGGACAAAAGGGCAGAUGCUGGUUAUGUUCACCGAG